rnacentral:rRNA from 1 species
UACGUAGGGGGCUAGCGUUGUCCGGAAUCAUUGGGCGUAAAGCGCGUGUAGGCGGUUCGGUAAGUCCGCUGUGAAAGUCGGGGGCUCAACCCUCGGAUGCCGGUGGAUACUGUCGGACUAGAGUACGGAAGAGGCGAGUGGAAUUCCUGGUGUAGCGGUGAAAUGCGCAGAUAUCAGGAGGAACACCGGUGGCGAAGGCGGGUCUCUGGGCAGUAACUGACGCUGAGGAGCGAAGCGUGGGGAGCGAACAGG